rnacentral:rRNA from 1 species
UUUUGGGUUUUCUUCUCCGUUUGUUCGGGUUUGGGAAAGUUGCUCGGGGGUUGGGGUUCGUCGGCGACGGCGCGGCGUUAGCAGGUACCGCCGAGUCGGCGGCAGAAGGCCACGCGGCCGCCGUCGGCCUCUGUGGUUCGCGUGGGGCUUCGCCUUCGGGUUCUGUUUUGGUCGACGGGGGAGGCGGGAUUUGGGAUUGACCCGGGUCGAGGUCAGGUUCGAGGGACGUAGGUGCAAGGAGCCGUUCGCGUUCGUGGCGGGGCGGGGAAGAGGCGGGGGACUCGGCAGAGGAUGGGGCCUCCGCCGCCUCGACUCAAAGUUCGAACUCGGCUGGAGACUGCUGUGGUCGAACUGCUUCCGCAACCGCGACCUAACGCUCUACCAGCCCCAACCCCGGCCACCGUCGUUCUCGCGGGAGCGGUCCCGGUGGAACCAAUUAAGGAAACCGUUGCAACAUAUACUACUUAUACACGCUGGUUACCUCGCUUAACACCUGAUGGCAUGGGUAUAAUCACCCUAAUCUGGAUUCGUGUACUUAUUUCGGUUUCUAAAGAGCUAGCAAGUCUUCCUAUAUCGACUCGAAUAGUGUCCUUCCCAAGAACAACCUGUACGGAAUGUGGUACUAGAAUUCCAGGACGAUGAUCCAGUGGGUUUUUUCCUGUAUUCUCUGUGGAGUCUUAUACUCCAAAAGGCUGCCCUCCCGUUCGCCUCUAGCAACUUUCUAGAACGACGAGUUCUUGAAAGACAAUUCUAUGUUGUCGUUCUCGUGACGGGCUAACUCCUACGAGCGCGUCGUUACAAGUAAAUGUUCUUCGUGUUCUUUUCAACCCUCUUCUUGUUCUUUCUCGUUAAGUCCAAGUUCUUGUUCGUCUUCUUCGCUCCGUUAUUCUUUAGACGACUUCGGUUACUCUUCCUGGGGUUACAGGGUUAUCAAGAUGACAUCCUUUGUAUCUACAUUCCCCCCGGUCCCGGUUCGUCACAGCACGAAUUGUACCUAAAGUGCUGCGGUUUCCCAUACGGCACACCCUUAAAGUCUACCUUGGACAGUUCUUGAGUUCUAGUCGUGCGGUUGGACCCUUAAAGAGGUCUACUUGGUACUUGAAGCCAUGGUACGACCUGCCCAUCUACCGCUACGGCACUAAUAUAGACAACUAAGACUAAAAAGAUCCGGCGUAUACAAAGUCCCUAACUAACGUUUAACACACCGACUAAUAAGGAGUGUAGUGUACACUGCUUUGAAGUGUGUACGCACGUCCAAGACAUUGUUCUAUAAAUGUACUGGUCGACUUUUUACCGCGUCGGCUAUUAUAAACCAACAACCAUUAACGUAAAACUCAUGAAAAAAAAACUGUUUGAUCUCAUCUACCG